GUAUUACUUGUAACGUCAGGAAAAUAUCAGGUGAUAAGACAUGACGUCAAAGGUUUCACAGAAAGCGUUUCAACAAACACUGCGGAGAGAAAGCUUGGAUUUACACACAGCUAAACACAGGGGCUUUCAAUGACAGCAGAACCUACUUUCUGAAAACAUGAGUGCUGAACAGCAUCGAAACGUUCUGUUACGGCAGAAUCCUCACAAUGUCAACUCAUCACAUGCAGACCAGUACACCUGUGGGGCUUCACGUUAUCUAUCAGUGCCCUCAAUCAGUCAGUGCCAGUUUUUUCUAAGAAAAAAAUCCAUGGAAAGCGCCGUAGAAUUCAAAGAUGCUCCUAUGGAAUUCAAAGAUGCUCCUAUGGAAUGGUAAAAGACCUCCAAAGUGCCAACAAAGACAUCCACUGAGGACAGAUACCAAAGAUGAGGAUCAAUACAAUAGCAAGAAGACUGUCUUAGGGCAAAUCAUACAAAACAUUGUUAUUAUUAUUAUUAUUAUUACUAUUAUUAUGCACAUACACAGAUGCAACUGACAAACAAUUCAGUUAAAUUUGUUGAAUAUAACAUGGUUUCAGUUCUCCAAAAGUGUACCAAUGAGAUCACUUUGCCAAAUUUAUCAUGUACUAAUAGUUAACCAUUAUUUUACAAAAUUAACAUACUUUGGUAAUACACUGUAAUAUUGACGUACAUUCUGCUACAUUUGUGUGCCUUAUGACCUGCACUGCUGCUAAAGAAGCAGGACACUAGGUUUAUUACCAUUUAAAUUAAUUGCAUCAAUCAAUCCAGUGCAUAUUCAUCACAUAAUUUGGGUCAUGAAUUAUGAUGAUGAAUGUUCAUACCUUUCUGGUCAGACCAGCAAUGAAUGAAAGAUAUCGUAAACAAUCAUUCUGUAUGCUGUAUCAGCCUUCACAUUUUAGGCCUAUGUUGUUUGUAUUGCUUGUAAUGUAUUAAUGAUAAUGAUGACAUAAUGUUUUUAUUAUUUAAUAUUUAUUUGUUAUUUCUGCAUCUCUGUAUUUCUCCAAUUUCUGUUUCACUGGAAUGGCUUACUAUCUACACAAACUAUGUUAUUGCUGAGUAGGGGUUUUACAUUUUGCUAUUUGGAUGUUCACUACAUUUUACCAGCAUGUCUUCAAUCUGUGUACAAAGUUGAUUGAUUUCCCUUAUUAAAGAACACUUUCAUUUUGA